rnacentral:rRNA from 1 species
GGACAGCAUUGCACAUAACAUUUUUCACAAAAACUUAACUUCAAAAGCUAUGGACUGCAAAAGCUCUACAUUGUUCUUUCAAUAAACAUUUUUUUCGUUUACAAAAUGAACCACCCCACAGAGGACAACAUAAGUGGACUCAGAAGCAUACAUUUUUUCUCAUACACAAACAAAUAACAUAUUUUUUGCACGACCAACAAACUUCAGUACCCCCGCGCCGCCCUACACAUGGUAACCGCAACUGAAACGACGAGCUGCACGCUCACACCCCUGCGUACUGCACACGCCAGGCUGCAGAGCCGUCGUCAACCUUCUGCACAUAGUAGUAUAUAUAUACAUCAUAAAGAAACUGAAUUUUUUUGGGCAGUGAACCACCUUUUUUUACUUUGUUCUUUUCUGUUUGUUUUUUGUCUUCUCCUGCAACAUAAAGGUAAACUAAACUUAGGAGCAGCUAGCGAACUUCAUUCCACCUGAAUUUGUCUCUACAAAAAGGAACUAGUACUAUGGGAUUUCUUGGCUGCACGUCCACUUGCACAGAACUGCAUCGAAGCGCCCAUUUUUUGGCGAAUUAUGUCGUCCGUCGAGGGCCAGGAGCAGACUGCAGCACAGUGCCAGGUGGACAGCGGCGUCGGCACCGCACGAGGGUCAAGUGCACUGCAGUCAUGCGCCCGGUGAACCUCACACUAUGGACCGGCGAACUGCACGACAGUCUCACGACCAUCCUCGCCUGGAAUGAAAACCACCAUAUUGGGAAUUGACAGCAGACAGUGAACCUCUCUAGCAGAACCUGGGGAUGCAAAGUGUGCUGCCUACUGCAAUAGAGACGUGAGGUGGGAGUUUGCUGGAGACCAAGUUGUUGCCGCGUUUGUCGCUCGGCGUGCCCCGGAACUGCAUGGAGAUGAGCACAGAACCACAUCCCACAAUGCCAAAGCUGCACCUCAACGCUCGCCGGACUGCUCGAGGAAACUAGACGCACUGCACGCCGAGCACAAACGAGCCGCACGCCGCUGAUGAACUGCACAUCAAGCUCUGAAAGCAAGCAGCACGAGCAAAGUGUCAACAAGGUGCUGUUCAGUGUAGUCUCUCCCCUGGCUGUGACAGUGUACUGCAUGUAGAGGAGGAAGUGGGGCACACCGUUGUGCAAUGUGGACUGCAGUGCCCCAUCCACCCGGUCGGAGUUGCUUCGUCGGAGGACAUUGCGACGCCCAGAGCCACGGUACGGGACGGUGGAGGCAUCCCAAAUAGGGGCCGCGGCCAUGGUGGCUCUGUCGAGGCCUCCCACGACGCCAUAUAGGAGAGGAGGAGAGGACGCCAGAGUCCGGUGCUUUGCGGUGCCAAAUUGCAUCGCGUGCCCCGACGCACUGCAAGCCCGGGGCGCCUGGACUGCAAGGGAAGGAGGGCAACUCGUCCGGAGGACAUGGCGGAUCACACUGACGAUGCAUCAAAGACCCGUAGUACUGCAUCAACCGUCGGGGUCUGCUUUUGGACUACAACAAGGGACGGUCUGCGGUGGAGCAAGGCAUGGACCGGGGUGAGGCGAGGUGAGGCCUCGCAGGGUCCUGGACAAUGGGAGGGACCAGCGUGGAGAGCUUGACGAGGCAGAGGAGGGAAGUGACGAGGCAUCCGUGGGCGGUUGCCGGGUCGAAUCCAUCGCCGGCGGCGUUGUGGGCCUUGGAUCCCUCGUCGUGGAGCACCAUGGGGAGCGACCUCAUCCAGAUUGGCCGCCACGGAUCUCACCGGGGGCGGUGGCUCCAAUUCGCCGGCCUCCCUUUCCACAUCGGCCCAGCGAGCCUGACCGGUGAUCCGGCGCCACCGCAACAAGGAGGAGGCUGAAUUUACCAGAUCAGGUCACCGGCGCCUCGGGUGGUUACUUUGGAAGGUGGCCACACGCCCUGGAUGUCACCUGCGAGGUAGGAGGAAGGGAAGGACGGAAGGCUGGUUCUGGUGGGACGCCGGAGGUAUGGAGGGGGGUGGCGCGCCGGAGGGAGGGGGUGGUCGGGCGACGGAGGGAGGGGUGGAGAAGAAGAUGGCAGGGCGGGGCUGGCUCACGGCCGCCGGGCGCAAAGAGGAAGGUGGUGGGGCGGCGCUGGUUUGCCACGACCGCGCGCGGAGAUGAAGGUGCGGCGCUGGCUUGCAGCGGCCGCACGCGGAGAAGAUGGUGGGGCAGCGCUGGCUCGCGGUUGCCGGGCGUCGAGAGGAUGGCGGCGCUGUGAGGGAGGUUGAGAGGGCCGACGGGACAAGGAGGUGGGGGAAUUUUGGGGGCGUCGUGCUGUGGUAGGUGGGAGGAAGAUGGCGAUCGUGGCCUCGUGGGUGGGGUGGAUCCGUCGAC